GAUCCUGGCUCAGGAUGAACGCUGGCGGCGUGCCUAAUACAUGCAAGUCGAACGAGAACCGGAGCUUGCUCCGAUUCGAGUGGCGAACGGGUGAGUAACACGUGGGCAACCUGCCCUAAAGUUCGGGACAACGGACCGAAAGGUCCGCUAAUACCGGAUAAUGUCUUAGAGUCGCAUGACUUUAGGAAGAAAGCCGAAAGGCGCUUAUGGAUGGGCUCGCGUCCCAUCAGCUAGUUGGUAAGGUAACGGCUUACCAAGGCGACGACGGGUAGCCGGUCUGAGAGGAUGGUCGGCCACACUGGGACUGAGAUACGGCCCAGACUCCUACGGGAGGCAGCAGUUGGGAAUAUUGGGCAAUGGGCCGAAAGCCUGGCCCAGCGACGCCGCGUGAGGGAAGAAGGCCUUCGGGUCGUAAACCUCUGUCAUCGGGGACGAAGAAAGUGACGGUACCCGAGGAGGAAGCCCCUGCUAACUACGUGCCAGCCGCAGC
rnacentral:rRNA from 1 species